rnacentral:rRNA from 1 species
AAGUCGUAACAAGGUUUCCGUAGGUGAACCUGCGGAAGGAUCAUUACCGAGUUAGGGUUCCCUUCUCUGGGGCCCGACCUCCCAACCCUGUGUCUUAAACAAACUUGUACGUGUUGCUUCGGUGGACCGGUCUCCCGGCCGCCGGGAGGGUCUCACCCCCCUGGACAGUGUCCACCGACAGCCCAACCCCAAAACUCCACAAACAAACCAUGUGAAUUCUUCUGAAUCAAACUUUUUGUUUUGAUAACCACAUCAAAAUUUAAAACCAAAACUUUCAACAACGGAUCUCUUGGUUCUGGCAUCGAUGAAGAACGCAGCGAAAUGCGAUAAGUAAUGCGAAUUGCAGAAUUUCCGUGAGUCAUCGAAUCUUUGAACGCACAUUGCGCCCUUUGGCAUUCCGAAGGGCAUGCCUGUUCGAGCGUCAUUAUCCUCCCUCAAACCCCCCGGGUUUGGCGUUGGACCGUGUUGGGACCGCCUUGUGUCCCAACUGGUCUCAAAGACAAUGACGGCGUCCGUGGGACCCUCUUCGCACUGAGCUUUCCGGAGCACGCGUAGAGUGUCAAGGUCCCCGGGCCCGGUCACCCUUAUUUUAUUUUCUAGGUUGACCUCGGAUCAGGUAGGAAUACCCGCUGAACUUAA